rnacentral:tRNA from 1 species
CGAUAGCUCAACGGUGGAGCACUCGGCUGUUAACCGAUAGGUUGGAGGUUCGAAUCCUCUC